CCUACGGGGGGCAGCAGUGGGGAAUAUUGCACAAUGGGGGAAACCCUGAUGCAGCGACGCCGCGUGAGUGAAGAAGUAUCUCGGUACGUAAAGCUCUAUCAGCAGGGAAGAAAAUGACGGUACCUGACCAAGAAGCCCCGGCUAACUACGUGCCAGCAGCCGCGGUAAUACGUAGGGGGCAAGCGUUAUCCGGAUUUAUUGGGUUUAAAGGGUGCGCAGGCGGACCAUCAAGUCAGCGGUAAAAUCGUGGGGCCCAACCCCAUCCCGCCGUUGAAACUGGCGGUCUUGAGUGAGCGAGAAGUAUG
rnacentral:rRNA from 1 species